ensembl:lncRNA LINC03025 long intergenic non-protein coding RNA 3025
AGGACCAACAGGACCUUUCAGGAAAGCUAUCCCUGCUUACACAGAGAAUUGCCCUUGCCUAACACUGAAGCCUGGCAGAGUAACAUGAAAUAACCACAGCAAUUCUAAAAUUAGAAUUAGCAUGCCUAGAAUAACAGGUGCUGUUGUAGGAGCAAGGGAUACAAUGAUGAUCAAGGCAGAUGCAGCCGUUACCUUCAGGUUGUGGAGUCCGGAUACAGACUGGAGGCAGGCAGCUGUAAGAUGUGUGAGAAAUGCUGCGCUGGAUCAGCCCAUGGUAUUAGGAGAGCAGAGACCGAGAGGUUGAUGUCACUCCCAAUAUCGGAGGAAGUAUACACCCCCGUGUGAGAUGGUCCUUAAUAAUAUUCCACGGCGGAGGGGGUGAUAUGACUACAUACAUGGCAGAAAGUGGAAACCUCCCAGGGAUAUUGUUCCCACGAUCCUGGAGGGAAGAAGAUGAUGUUACUUUCAAUAUGACAGAAGGUGGAUGAAGUGGUGGACUGCCCCUCCACACCUGUGGACACGCCCCCACUGAUAUUCCUUCUAAUUGCAGCGUGGGAGAGGAGGAUAUGACACGCGAUAUCGCAGGGAGUAGAAACACCCCUGUGAUACUGUUCUUAAUAUUCAGGGAGGAAGAGGAUGAUAUUACUCCCAAUACAGACGGGUGUACACCCUCUGUACACCGAGGGUGUACACCUGUCUGUGAAAGAGUUCGUAAUCUCCAGAGGGGGAGAUGAUAUUACUCACAAUAUGGUAAAGAGGCUGUGAGUCCACGGAGGAUCCUCAGAGCCAGCGGGGGAAGAGGGGCUGGCUCUCAGUCCCCGCCUCGCGGGGGUGACUCCCCCCAGUGCGAUGGGGGUCCUAAGAGCCAGUGGGGGAAGAGGGGCUGGCUCUGAGACCCCGCCUCGCGGGGGGUGCCUCCCCGCCCUGUGAUGGGGGUCCGAAGAGCCAGAAGGCUUAGAGGGGCUGGCUCUCAGUCCCCGCCUCGCGGGGGGUGCCUCCUCCCCCUGCGAUGGGGGUCGUAAGAGCCACUGGGGGAAUAGGGGCUUGCUCUCAGUCACCGCCUCGCGGGGGGUGCCUCCUUUCCUUUCUACAUAGACACAGUGACAGUCUGAUCUCUCUUUCUUUUCCCUACAGAUGGACACGCCCCCACUGAUAUUGUUUUUAAUGCAGCGUGGGAGGGGAGGAUAUGACACGCGAUAUCGCAGCUGAGUGCCACGUGCUGACGUCACUAAGAUCAAUACAGCAAACUCUGAAAGAUGGACAGAGAGACAGGAGAUGGUCCUUUAUAAUGCAGUGUGAUCUGUGCUGCAAUAGAGUUUUGGAAGCUAGAAGUUCAAAACGAGGUGUUGGCAGCACCAUGCUCUCUCUGAAGAUGCUAGGAAGAAUCUGCUCCAUGCCUUUCCAUUCGCUUCUGGGGUUUCCUGCAAGCCCUGACAUUCCUUGGCUUGUAGAUGCAUCACCCCAGUUUCCGCCCCCAUCAUCACAUGGCCUCCUCUCUGUGUGUGCCUCUGCGUUCCCUCUAUUCUUCUUCUAAGGACACCGACACCAGUCAUAGUGGAUUAAGUGUCC